UGUAAGUAGGUCAUUUUGACCAAAUUCGACUUAAUCCUCAUUUUGAUAUGAUGGGUCACAAAUAUAACACUGUUUCUCAUUUCCAUUUAUAGCAAUCUUUAAUUUCACCUGGUGGAUCAUAAUUUAGGGUUAUUGCCUGUGUUUUGUUUACAUUAACUUUGUAUCUUAUGGACCCAUUUUAACUAAAUCCACUACAUGUGGUAGUAAUACAUAAAACAGUGUUUAUAUAGAUAUUAUAUAUAGAUAUUUUCCAUGUGAAUACCAGAUAUCAGGUUAUAAGACUGACUUGAGCAGAUUUAAUCCUGUGGGGGCUGAAGAAACCUGGAAUCUAUUCUUAAAACACUAAAUAUAAACAAAUACAAUAAAACUUUUGGACACAGUUGGACUGUUUUUAAUUUUUAUUUUGUCUAGAAAACAAACUACGAAACAUCAAUAAUACGUUUUAGCAAAAUAAAUGUUUUUCUCUUCUUGAAGACAGGAUGAAAACAUUAAACACUUGAUCAGAUCAAUGCUGAAUUUCCAACAUGUCACAAACCUGAUGAACUGCUUGUGAUGGUGAUGAUGAUGAUGAUGRUGRUGAUGAUGAUGAUGAUGAUGGUGAUGAUGAUGAUGAUAGACCUCUCCCCCAAGAUCAGUAUUUCCAGGAAUCCCCUUUUCUAUCAGGUCAAGGGAUUCCUGGGAAAACUGGACCCCAGAAAAGAGGGUUGUGGUAAAAAACAAGGUUCUUGGUUGAAGCUGGUCAAAGCUGCAGACCCCUGUUGAUGGACGGUGCAACUUAAAAACGUUUGUGUGAUUUUUGUCCUUCGUCCCGAGCUACAGUGCUUCAUCUCAGACUAGCAGCUGACCAGAGAUGCAGCACUGCACCGCGGGCCGCAGGGAUGUUUGUCUGAACUGCAGGGAAACAAAGAUGGCCGAUUCAGGACAGUUAUUUCAUCACAUUUCAUUCUGACUACAAACAAGUUUACUUUUGUUCGCAUCGUAAUGAAGGAAAGCACAGUACUCACCACCAUUCAUGGCUAAAAUUUUAAGAAAAAAAAUAACACUGAACACGAUUCUGUUUAGAGAACCUCAGAGCAAGUACAGCAUCAAUUCAAGUAUCUAAAAAAUUGCCUUUUUAUUUUAUUAUUUUGCUAAUGUUGAUUAUCUGUGGCGGCCAUUUUAAAUAGGAUUCUCUGCUAAAGUUAAUCAGUUGAACUACAUUCAUUCAAAUUCAAUAUUGUUCACCUUUGCCUUCCUGUGGUGGGCGAACAAAAUAUUCCUUCAGUGGUCCAACAUUAUCCAUUAAACUAAGAUAAUUUGAGUAAAAGAAUAAGAGAUUCCACAGUACAAGUACUUCUUCCAGAGUGGUAAACAGGAGAUGACUUCAACUCCCAGCAGACCUACAAAAUACCAACUUCCUGCCGAAGCUGCUCCCUGUCCCAGUUUGGUGCCUGGAUGUGUUUCUUCUUCUUCUUGUUUCUGUACAAACAUAUUCAAACUGUUCAACAGUUUUUACUGCUUCCUGAAACAAUCAGUAACUUUAUUGGUUUAUAUAAAUAAAGACAUCAGGAUCAGUUUGAUUCAGA